rnacentral:rRNA from 1 species
CUACGGGUUGCAGCAGGGAAGAAUAUUGUACAAUGGGGGCAACCCUGAUACAGCAACGCCGCGUGAAGGAAGAAGGCCUUCGGGUUGUAAACUUCUGUGACAGAGGACGAAGAAGAUGACGGUACUCUGAGAGGAAGCUCCGGCAAACUACGUGCCAGCAGCCGCGGUAAUACGUAGGGGGCGAGCGUUGUCCGGAAUCACUGGGCGUAAAGGGCGCGUAGGCGGCCAUAUAAGUUGAAUGUGAAAUCCCAGGGCUCAACCCUGGACGUGCAUUCAAAACUGUAUGGCUUGAGUAUGGUAGAGGUAAGUGGAAUUCCUAGUGUAGCGGUGGAAUGCGUAGAUAUUAGGAGGAACACCAGUGGCGAAGGCGACUUACUGGGCCAAAACUGACGCUGAGGCGCGAAAGCGUGGGGAGCAAACAGGAUUAGAUACCCUAGUAGUC